AUUUCUUUUUAAAAGCUUUGCAAUAUCUUACAAUCCACUUUAAAGAGUAUAAAUAUUUUACGAACAUCGAGGAUUAAUAGCUAAUAGUAUCACCUCCAUAUUUUCAUUCAAAUCUAGUGGUCUCCAGAAUCAUCAAAGAGAAGGCAGCAUACCUUGCAACAGAGCUGCGAACUCGAGUCACAUGACUUGUGAAUCGAGUCUGACUUGAAAUGAAAUGACUCUUACCUUGACUUGGACUUGGGGAAAUAAUUACUUGUAACUCGAGUCAGACUUGAAUAUAAAUGACUUGCGACUAGUACGGGCUUAAAUUUUAUAUAAUAUUAAUGUAUGUAUAAACAAGUUUGGAAAAGAAAAAUAUAUUGAUACACUGAAUGGGGAGAAAAGUGGGGUCAGCUAAAGCAAGGACCACUACAGAGAAAAAAGGAGAGUAGAGAAAUAAUUGAGUCAACUGCUAUGAGAAAAAUCAUCAAGGUAAAUGAUUGAUGACUGGAGUACUUUUAAAUCUAUUUACUCGAAGAAGGAGAAAGGGAGAGGGAAGACAAUAGUUGGAACUACGCUUAAAGAAAUUUCAUUCAUGGUCAUUUAAAUGAUAUUUCAUUGGAUGCAUUUGGAUAAAUGGAUAUGCAUCCACAUAUCUUUCCUGUCCCACGGAGAUCAUAUUUUUCAAUUUGGAUAAACUAUCCACACGUCUUCUGAUUAUCUCUUCAACUUCAUUUUCUGUUCUAAGGAUUUCUCUUCUGUAUACCUCACUCGAUGGAUCUCAUCUUCUUUAACGGAAGGAUCGGAAAUUGCACAUAUACUGCUUCACUCCAAGAUUUUGUAAUUUAUCAAAUUAUUGAUCAAAGUAAUGAUUAAUAAGGAAAAAAUUAUGGAAAAGGAAGACAUCAUUUUUUGUAAUCCAUUACAUCCAUCUGUAUUACAGGUACAAUGGUACACACUCACCUGUAAAAAUAUAAAAUUUGCAAUGAAAUAAGAUAAGUAUAAUUGAUUUUUUCAAUUUAAUAUUAAUAUUCAACCAUAUAUUGAAUAGAAUGAGAUGUUAUAGAUGUAGCUAAUGUGGAUGUAUAUUUGAAAAUUAUCAACAUCCUAAUAUAAUUACUUAUACAAAUAGAUUUAUUUUACAUAUUGAGAAGUUGUGUGUUUAUUUAUGUAUAUUAAGUUGCGGUACAAUUUAUGUAAAGUCAUUUCCUAUAUAUUAUCUUGUAUCUAUUAUAAUAAAAAUGAAAAAGUGAAGAAUUAUUCCUAAGUGAAAAAACCUAAUCACUGCAAUUAAUUACAUAUCAUUGCGCAGUUGGUAAUUACUGAUAAUUAUAUCUAAGAAUCUUUAAAAACUUUAAUUAAAAAAAAUAUUCAGUUGAAUUUAAGUUAUAAAAAUAGAUAAGUGAAAAUGGUUGGACGAGGUGAUGACUUAAGGAAGUGAUCAACUAGUAAGCAGGCUCAAGUAAUCAGAGCUGUUAAUAGCAGAAACAGUUUCUGUAAGUCCCUAUUAGCACAGAAAACAUAUGAAGGAAAUUUAUUCCCUUUAAAUCGCCUAUGAAUAAUUGGAGGAUCAUUAUAUGGAAUUGAUGGACAUAGAUCCAGAUCAAACAGAUGAAUACAAUACCAACUGGAGGAAUAUAAUACAAAAUAUCAAGAGACGCUAGAGAAGCCUUUAGAUACUAUGUUUUUGAAUGAGCAACCAGCUGAACCAACUUUAAAUAAACCCCCCGAACUUUCUAGUAGCAUUAUCCAAAUUGACAACUCUUCACUACCUUUUAAUUUAACAAAGGAAAAAAACGAAACAUAAUUGGGGUAAGUCAACUGGUAAAACUGAGUAAAAAUCAAGUUAUUGAGAAAUAACCCUUUUAUUUAUUUACUUAAUAAAUAUUAACAGUCAAAAAGUUUAUAGACAUAUUUGGUUCAUUGUGGCAUUGAUGCCCAAAUAUAAAGGAUAAGAUGAAAUACUCAAGAAUAUUAGCUCUAAUUUAGAGCCUUCAAUUGAUUAAUGUGACCCUUAUUGGCUCCGUUAUGCUCUUUUAUAUAUAAUUGAUCAUAUGCAUACCCUCAGAUAUGUGUUAAUAUUUAUUAAAACGGAGUUGUUUUAAAAAUAAAUGGAGUUUAACCGAUCUAUCUUUAAUCUAUAUAUAUUAUCGAAUAUCGAAAUAAGAGGUUGAAAAAAUGUUGUCGGACAUAAUUUAUAACGUUUGGAAACUUUAUAAUAAUGGCGUCUAAUCGUACAAGGCAGAGAUCAUAAUAAGUAAGGUGACUAUAUAUUAGGUGGGUCGAUAAGAAACUUGCAACACGUUGACGUUAUCUGACAAUUUUUUUGAUUUUUUGACAUCUGACCCAAAUUCAGUGUUACUGACUAAAGUGCACUCAUAUUAUUCCAAGAAUGAUGUUUUCUUCUGACAGUACUAGGAUUAUUUGUGCUUUGGUAACCUCUAAAAAUCCAUCAGAAGUCCACUAUUUUGUAUAAUUUUUAGAAAAUUUAUGUUCUGACCUAUUUUUUAUUCAAAACAACUUUUAAUUUUUUUAUAAUAAUUUUAGUACCGUAAUCGUUCGUGGGUCAAAAUUUACAAUAAUGUUAUUGUCUGAUGAGAAAAAAAAGUAAUAAAUUAUGUAUUAAUACAAUUUAUUUUAUCAAAUGUCCUCCUAAAUUGGCUCCUCUCUAAUAUCCUCAAAAUAGCCAGAACAAUUGUAAACAAAGGCAAAGAAAUCUCUAAUCGACACACCUUAUAUAUAGUCACCUUGAUUAUUAUGAUCUCUGCCUUGUUCGAUUAGACGCCAUUAUUAUUAAGUUUCCAAACGUUAUAAAUUAUGUCCGACAACAUUUUUUCAACCUCUUAUUUCGAUAUUCCAUCUUUUCAUCAUGGCUAGACACUUCGUGCGUGGACAAGAAAGAACAAUAAAUGGUGCUUAAUUUUUGCUAUUCCCGAUGUAAUUGUUAAUUAGGGCCUCAGAAAUCCUGUGAAGAGAGAGUAACAUACUUUAAGUGGGUUUCUCCACAAGCAGUUAAAUUUUGUAGGGAUUAGUCCUUGAAAAUUGCGGCAAUUUCAAUAGAUUCUCUCGAAGUUAGUUUUCCUGGAUAUUUUUCUUCAAUGGAUGAAAAAGACGAUAUGAUGAAGCUUGUUAUUGAAGGAAGACAUUUCAAGCAUAUGUGCCAGAUCACUUUUUCGUUCUUGAUGGGAAUCUCCAGAAGUACCCUUGGUCAUUUACAUACUCAUUAAAUGGAAAAUGGUCUUACUUUGAGUACACAUAUUGAAAAUACAUUGGACAGACCUUACAAUAUGAGCGACGGAAAGCUAUCAAGAUAUUUCUUGGAAACAUUAUGAAUGGGCAUGGCGUUUUUAUUCCUGAAAGAUUCCCUUCUCAUUCGGACUUCAAGGAUUUUGGUUUUCUAAUUCAUUGGAGUAAAUACAUCUUAUACAAGAAAUAUGUUCAAUCAUGCUUGGAUUUUGGUUACGAAAAAUUUGUUGUAAAAAUACAUUUAUAAAGUAGUGGAAGACAGCAUGUCCACAAUUAGGAUCUAUGGGAAGACACAAUGACGUUUGCCAUAUAUGUUACGAUCAUUGGGAAGUUCAUCAUAAAAAAAUCCUUUAGACGAUUGAAUAUUAAAAAUUGAUAGUUCCAUAAAAAAAUCAUUUGGAUUGUGUUCAAAUAGAAAAAAAAGGAUACAACACACGAGUUAGUUAUGCUAAAUAUAAUAAGGAUGAUGUUCAUUUGUUGAUAUUGGACUCAUCAGAGGGUAAGUCCAUUCUAUAUUCAUCUAUUCAAAGAGAAAAAACUCACUCCUUGUCUUUAUAAUACAUUAUACAUAAUAGGUAUUUUCGUGUCAGCGAGGAAUCUUUUUCUAUUCGCAAAAUAUAUUUUGCAUUUUGCAAGUGAUCCCAUUUUUUAUGGGAGUGUACUAACAAAAAGAGUUAUUCAUUACAGUUUCAUCAUAGUAUAAAUAUAAUAUCGCUCUUCGUACAAAUUCAAAAAAAAUAAUUUUUAGUUGUGUGUAAAAACUAUAUUUACUACUUACAAAACAGAAAAUUUAACACAUGUUUAUGCAAUUACUUGGAAUAUAUAUUCUUCAAUACAUGAAUGUUUGGGUUUCUAUCCAAGAUAGCGUUUUGGGAACCAUACAGCAACUAACUACAAAGAGAUAGUGUAUAAACAGAUUGAGGACAACAAAGAAAUGGGAUGUAAGAUUAGCAUAAAAAUUCGUUUUUUAAGGCCAUCUAGCAAAUUUUCAUAAUGAACAAGGGGAGAUAUUUCGUCAAAACUUAAUUACAAUGGAAAAACGCUAUUUAGGAAGAUGGGAUGUGCAUAUGAUGGCAGAAUAUUUCUCGAGCAUAAAAAGAGAUCUGAUAUACCCUUAAUAAAAUAUAUACCUUUUAACUCAAUUUAUAGAUGCUUAAAUGGAUUUAAAAAAUAUAAAAGUUACAUCUAUUAAUUAAUGAUAAAAUAGAUCUUUGAAUUGUUAAAUGCCAAUUUAUAUCCCCCCCCCCCUUAGACACUACAAUAAUUGAAUAAAAUAAGAGACUUUAUGUGGUAUAUGCAAUUAUAAUAUAGUUAAAUAUGUGUACCUAGGAUUAUCAUAAAAUAAAUAUAAUACAUAAAUUAAAAUUAAAACAUUUAAAACACAAGAACAUGUAAGUAGAUUGAGAUAUAAAUUUUAAAUUAAGAUGUGAUUUUCAUAGACUUUGAUCGAUUUUCAUUCAUUAAAGACUUCCAUAUUCUCCAGAAUUAGGAAAAAAGAGGAUAUAUUUUAUCCUUAAAAAGACAUACUCUAAUUUUGAUAUAUAUGGGGAUGAUGAUAGGAUGAAAGUUUAUCGUCGGAAAAUAAACCAAGUAAAGCCUCAUACCGACGAAAGUAGAGUCAACUCCUCUAUUGAGUAGGAAAUGGUACACCCGUAUAUACCAAUGAAUAUAUUCAAUGGUUAAACCUAUGAAGGGAUCCAUUCACUUUCGGAUAAAAGUCUCUGGAUGUGAAAUAUAAAAUCAAUAUAUGUUAGUUAGGUGCUAUUAUUAUAUGUAACUGUAUGCUAUCUUACAAUUAUUAAAUUAAAAUAUAUAAGAAAUUACAUUUAAACAAUUGAAUCAUUUUAACUCAGAUAAAUGUAAUAUCUAGAAGUGCUCAAAUUAGACAAUUGCUCAUUCAUUAAGACCUACAGAAGGGGACUUUUAAUCUAUGUUCGCCAAUAGUUAGGACCAAAGAAAGAUAGAAGAAAUCGAAGGAAGAUACUUCCUACUUUUUUAUCUAUCUCAAAAGAUGCUCUAAUUCGGUUUCUGUUUUCUACGAGUAAAAUUCAUCUGAGAAAAACUGCAAGACCUAAUAAGAUACUCCUUCCUUGGAAAGGAGAUUCCGGGAUCGAAACAAGGAAGAUAUUUAUUCAUGAAGAGUAAUGAAUUGAAAUAUUUUAAUUAUAAUUAAUUAUUAUUUUUUUAAAAUUUGUACGAAGAGCGGUAUUAUGUUAAUGUGAUGAUAUUAAUUAUUAUAAUUUAUUACGAGGUAUGACGUCCUAAUAAGACAUUAAUAUAAUAUAAAAUAUUAGGAUAGUGAUGUCUGUCUGCUAAUGCACCCCCCAAAUAAAAUGGGAUUACUAAAAAAUUACAUAGUUGAGCAAAAAUCCUUGGAGAUAUAAUUUUUUUAAAUUCAAUAUUUAAUAUUUUCCAUAAUAUGAGCUAUAAUAUUUCUUAUCACUACAAAUGAUAAAUAAGUUAUUAGGGUCUAAAGAAAAGGGUUAUUUUUCAUCAUUUUUUUUGCCUAAAAAAGGGAGCCUCCCGAGUUAUAAACACUUUCAGGUAUGUUUUAUUAUUCUUAUGUUUAAUUUGGUGAAUGCCCUAAUGGAGGAAAAUGACUUUCCAAGGACUAUAAUCCAAGAUUUUUUUGAAACAAAAAUCAAAAUCAUUUUUCGAUUAUAUGCUCAAAGAUGAAUGCUAUCCUUGGCUUCAAUUCAUUGUUACAAAUGUUGACCCUGAAAUUAUUGCUGUGUAUUAUAUUUAGAAGAAUUAUAUAUUAAUUGAUGGAAUAUGAAAAGGAUCCAUGAUCCAGAUGCAAAAUAAUUUAUCAUGAUACAGUUAGCUACAAGUAUAUUAUAAAAGAUAUAUAUUAACUUUCUGUUUUUUAAAAAUUAUAAUUAGGUUUCGUGAUAAUAGCUUAAACAAAAAUGUGUAACGGUCUCAUUGAUUAGUAUACAUUUAAAUUGUACAUUCAAAUGUCCCUAUAAUAAGGCCUUAAAUGUCAUGAAUGGAUAAUAUUAUUGCUAUUGAUUUAUUUCCAAGACUGAUAUUUCCACCAGAUGGAAAAAAGAGAUGGAGAUUAUUACAACUAUAAACCAAGUAGCGAAAGGAAGAUCAUAUGAUCAAUAUUUGUAUAAAGUUGUGAUCUACUUAACACUUUUGUUUAUUCGCUAUAAGCAUUGAAUAUUACUCUAUAACUAACUUCGAAAUCUCUAUGAAUUCACCCUUUUAAUUGAAUAAAAAAAGUAUAUUCUGAGAAGAAAGAAAAAGUUCCAUACAUCAUGAGGACAAUGAUAAAGUAACGUCAUCUGGUGUAUAAUAAAAAGCAACAUCUUCCCUUUAACACGUCGUUACCUUUAUUGUAUCAAGCAACACUUCCUCUGAAAAGGAACAAAAAAAAACCAAAAAAAAAAACCCGAAAUUAUCUGUUAAUUAGUCAAGUAAGUCAAUCAUAUAAAUUGCUAUUUAUUUCUUAAGUACUACCUUACCAUAAUUGUUAUUUUAUUCCUCCACAAUUAUAAAAAUGAAUUUCUCAAAUAUGUAUUGUUAAUAUUGAAAUCCUAUAUAGUACUAAAUUUUAUAGUGUAUAAUAAUAUUCCUAAGUAAAUUUUUAUUAUAAGCGUAUUAUAUUUCUAUUU
rnacentral:lncRNA from 1 species